UACCGUGAAACUGCGAAUGGCUCAUUAAAUCAGUUAUCGUUUAUUUGAUAGUACCUUACUACUUGGAUAACCGUGGUAAUUCUAGAGCUAAUACAUGCUAAAAACCCCAACUUCGGGAGGGGUGUAUUUAUUAGAUAAAAAACCAACGCCCUUCGGGGCUUCUUGGUGAUUCAUGAUAACUUUACGGAUCGCAKGGCCUUGCGCCGGCRACGGUUCAUUCAAAUUUCUGCCCUAUCAACUUUCGAUGGURAGGUAUUGGCUUACCAUGGUUUCAACGGGUAACGGGGAAUUAGGGUUCGAUUCCRGAGAGGGAGCCUGAGAAACGGCUACCACAUCCAAGGAAGGCAGCAGGCGCGCAAAUUACCCAAUCCCGAUACGGGGAGGUAGUGACAAUAAAUACUGAUACAGGGCUCUUUUGGGUCUUGUAAUUGGAAUGAGUACAAUUUAAACCUCUUAACGAGGAACAAUUGGAGGGCAAGUCUGGUGCCAGCAGCCGCGGUAAUUCCAGCUCCAAUAGCGUAUAUUAAAGUUGUUGCAGUUAAAAAGCUCGUAGUUGAAACUUGGGUCUGGCUGGCAGGUCCGCCUCACCGCGUGUACUUGUCCGGCCGGGCCUUCCUUCUGGAGAACCUCAUGCCCUUCACUGGGCGUGUUGGGGACCAGGACUUUUACUUUGAAAAAAUUAGAGUGUUCAAAGCAGGCCUUUGCUCGAAUACGUUAGCAUGGAAUAAUAGAAUAGGACGUGCGGUCCUAUUUUGUUGGUUUCUAGGACCGCCGUAAUGAUUAAUAGGGACAGUCGGGGGCAUCAGUAUUCAAUUGUCAGAGGUGAAAUUCUUGGAUUUAUUGAAGACUAACUACUGCGAAAGCAUUUGCCAAGGAUGUUUUCAUUAAUCAGUGAACGAAAGUUAGGGGAUCGAAGACGAUCAGAUACCGUCGUAGUCUUAACCGUAAACUAUGCCGACUAGGGAUCGGGCGAUGUUCUUUUUCUGACUCGCUCGGCACCUUACGAGAAAUCAAAG
rnacentral:rRNA from 1 species